GAGCCCGUUAAUGGGUGAUGGCGUGCCUUUUGUAGAAUGAACCGGCGAGUUACGAUUUGAUGCAAGGUUAAGCAGUAAAUGUGGAGCCGUAGCGAAAGCGAGUCUGAAUAGGGCGUUUAGUAUUUGGUCGUAGACCCGAAACCAGGUGAUCUACCCUUGGUCAGGUUGAAGUUCAGGUAACACUGAAUGGAGGACCGAACCGACUUACGUUGAAAAGUGAGCGGAUGAACUGAGGGUAGCGGAGAAAUUCCAAUCGAACCUGGAGAUAGCUGGUUCUCUCCGAAAUAGCUUUAGGGCUAGCCUCAAGUGAUGAUUAUUGGAGGUAGAGCACUGUUUGGACGAGGGGCCCCUCUCGGGUUACCGAAUUCAGACAAACUCCGAAUGCCAAUUAAUUUAACUUGGGAGUCAGAACAUGGGUGAUAAGGUCCGUGUUCG
rnacentral:rRNA from 1 species